rnacentral:rRNA from 1 species
AUUGAACGCUGGCGGCAGGCCUAACACAUGCAAGUCGAACGGUAACAGGAAGAAGCUUGCUUCUUUGCUGACGAGUGGCGGACGGGUGAGUAAUGUCUGGGAAACUGCCUGAUGGAGGGGGAUAACUACUGGAAACGGUAGCUAAUACCGCAUAACGUCGCAAGACCAAAGAGGGGGACCUUCGGGCCUCUUGCCAUCGGAUGUGCCCAGAUGGGAUUAGCUAGUAGGUGGGGUAACGGCCCACCUAGGCGACGAUCCCUAGCUGGUCUGAGAGGAUGACCAGCCACACUGGAACUGAGACACGGUCCAGACUCCUACGGGAGGCAGCAGUGGGGAAUAUUGCACAAUGGGCGCAAGCCUGAUGCAGCCAUGCCGCGUGUAUGAAGAAGGCCUUCGGGUUGUAAAGUACUUUCAGCGGGGAGGAAGGGAGUAAAGUUAAUACCUUUGCUCAUUGACGUUACCCGCAGAAGAAGCACCGGCUAACUCCGUG